rnacentral:rRNA from 1 species
UUGGAGGGCAAGUCUGGUGCCAGCAGCCGCGGUAAUUCCAGCUCCAAUAGCGUAUAUUAAAGUUGUUGCAGUUAAAAAGCUCGUAGUUGAAUUUCGGGAUCAAAUAAUCGGUCGUGCCUCCGGUACGUACUGGUUUUAUUGGUUCCUCCCUUCUGACGAACCAUGAUGUCAUUAAUUUGAUGUGGUGGAGAAUCAGGACUGUUACCUUGAAAAAAUUAGAGUGUUUAAAGCAGGCUAACGCUUGAAUACAUUAGCAUGGAAUAAUGAAAUAGGACGUUCGACCCUAUUUUGUUGGUUUCUAGGAUCGACGUAAUGAUUAAUAGGGAUAGUUGGGGGCAUUAGUAUUCAAUUGCCAGAGGUGAAAUUCUUGGAUUUAUUGGAGACUAACUACUGCGAAAGCAUUUGCCAAGGAUGUUUUCAUUAAUCAAGAACGAAAGUUAGGGGAUCGAAGACGAUCAGAUACCGUCGUAGUCUUAACCAUAAACUAUGCCGACUAGGAAUCGGGCGUCGUUAUUUUCACGACUCGCUCGGCGCCUUACGGGAAAC